rnacentral:misc_RNA from 1 species
CACGGCAAUCCGCAAUCCGAACCGGUUACCAUAUCAGUCCUCCGCAUUAGGUGGUAAGCGUUUGCUGCACGGUCACGUUAGGACUAUACGCGUGCAUGAUAUAAGCGGAUAUACGAUCCGCGAAUAUGGCUGAAUCACGUCGACAACUUCGCUAGUUACGCUAGACCCGAGAAUCUGCUUAGCCCUAGGCUACGAAGAGUUAUUAGUGUUAAGACGGACGCAAUAGACCCUACGUAAACAUAAGUCUGUAAUCGGAGGAUGACUCAUUGGCCCAUAGACUCAACAACGCACAGAAGGUCUUGCAACGAACCCUCGGUGAACAUUCCACUCGAACCACGUAUACAUCCGCAUUAGUCGACGUCUAAACCGCUAGGAGCUACUUCUUUACGGCCAAUUACCCGACCUAACGUAGCAUCCGGAUUACAUGGUAACACGGACGACUAGAUAAGCCGACGUGAAGGCAUAGGACUUAUCGGACCCUGGCGCUCAGUACUGAUAGAUCGUCGGACCUAUCUCUUUAAGCGAAACGUUGGGUCGAGUCACGUUUACGGUGACGCUACAGUUUAAGGUCGCCACUUCUACGCUACAUUAACAUCGCUCGAUAACGGUCGACGUAGCCCUUUGUGUAGGUUAGGCGCUAAUGCUUUCCUCAAUACCCGCAAGUUCUCACGCGAAGUUUACAUACAUCGUAGAUCUUAGCCGGCCGAACUUCACAUAUCGGUAGCCCGACUAUCUGUCCUGACAAACGUCUCGCCCUCUGUUCCAACCGUUAGCUGCCACAACGAGAGCGGAAGCGCAUACGACUCUGCUAAAUUCGCGACUGCCGUCUGAAUAUGACCCGCGAACUAGUAAUGCGUGACCUCUCUUAAGUUACCGAUACCGUACUGCCGGGUGUAAGCGUGACCUACUCAUGGCAAUUGACGUGCACGACCUAGGUAGUUCGCAUAGCACUCUAACGUGCGCCUACCGUUUGCGCUAACCUAGACAAACGGUACUACCUUCCCUUACUAUACGGGUUAACAGCAGGCACGGAUGCGAUGCGGCAUAGACCAAAGUGGGACGCACGAUAGUAAUCCGGUCCCUUAUCAAGCGUCACGGCAUUAAUCCGUCCAAAUAUCGAGAACGUACUGACUAUAGUCAACUGGGACCGAUCUAGGAGACUGGUAGUACGGGUAUACCUUUAGGGUUACGCGCUUACCGCAGGCUACAAAGGACGCUUCAGGCCACUCGGGUCGAUAUGCACGACGCGUAGCCAAUCAAGGCGUUAAGUUUCAUAGCGCAGUAAUCGCGUAGAGGGUUCAGCCGUCCAUAUCGUAACAGUCCGGUCACGGAAGGUGUUUAGUACUGAACCGUACGGAGCCUCGAAUGUGGGUAGUUCCUCCCGUAAGUUGUCAAUUGACGCCGCCUAAACACCUGGCGUCUAAGACAUAUCGACUCUCCACAUUCCGACUACUAACCGCACUAUCUUACUAGUAGUACCUAAGCUAUGCACUUCGGAUAUUAACGUUUAGGUCUGCGGAAUCCGUUCAUUCGGAACUCCGUUGAAUGUGAUUCGAGGAAUAGACCGUACAUCGAUGUCGAUAGCCAACAGUGUCCGACUGCUAAUCCAUGCCAUAUGUCCGUCAGACCCGUGGACCACUGCCGACGGAGAUUACGGGUAACGCCAGUGCGACCGGUCGAAUUACGUGUACCGGCCCGGUAACUAACAACCGCGACAUUAAGAUCGUUGCUCAGCCAAGUCCUACGAACGACCUAACUCCACAAAGGCCAUCGCGUCAGGAACACUAGGCAUCCUACAAGUGGAUGAGAGGUCGUUCGCCUCAGCUCGCGAUAUCCACGGUUGCGUACGCAAAUAAUGGUAGGUCGUACUAGUAUGGGACCAGGUGUUGUCCUACGAGUAAGAUCGGUGUGAAUCGCAAACCCUCCGGACUCAGAGUAUCCGGAAUAGGACACGCGUCUGAGUACGUGUACGUUACACGACGUUGUUGAUCGUUUAAGCU